CAACGGCGGGAACAAUCAGCAGUAACAGCAAACCGGGAACAACCAUGGCCAGAGCCCAAACGCCCCAGUCAAGAUGAAUGCCCAGAAUUUUGGCAGCGAAAUCAGCAGCCAGUAGAUUUGGUGCCAUCGCAGUGAUAAACAUAAAACUGCUGACCUUCAUGACAAAGUAAAUAUUGGACAUCAAAUAAGAGCCCGCUUUCUUUGCCGUAUCACCGGGUUCUGAUCCCAACGCUUUUACUACCGACAGGAUGAU
rfam:Yersinia pestis CO92 complete genome